rnacentral:rRNA from 1 species
AAUGAUUUAUCGCCGUAGGAUGGGACUGCGGCCUAUCAGUUUGUUGGUGAGGUAAUGGCCCACCAAGACUAUUACAGGUACGGGCUCUGAGAGGAGUGGCCCGGAGAUGGGUACUGAGACACGGACCCAGGCCCUAUGGGGCGCAGCAGGCGAGAAAACUUUUGCAAUGUGCGAAAGCACGACAAGGUUAAUCCGAGUGGUUUCUGCUAAAGAAACCUUUUGCCAGUCCUAGAAACACUGGUGAAUAAGGGGUGGGCAAGUUCUGGUGUCAGCCGCCGCGGUAAAACCAGCACCUCAAGUGGUCAGGAUGAUUAUUGGGCCUAAAGCAUCCGUAGCCGGCUCUGUAAGUUUUCGGUUAAAUCUGUACGCUCAACGUACAGGCUGCCGGGAAUACUGCGGAGCUAGGGAGUGGGAGAGGUAGACGGUACUCGGUAGGAAGGGGUAAAAUCCUUUGAUCUAUUGAUGACCACCUGUGGCGAAGGCGGUCUACCAGAACACGUCCGACGGUGAGGGAUGAAAGCUGGGGGAGCAAACCGGAUUAGAUACCCGGGUAGUCCCAGCCGUAAACUAUGCAAACUCAGUGAUGCAUUGGCUUGUGGCCAAUGCAGUGCUGCAGGGAAGCCGUUAAGUUUGCCGCCUGGGAAGUACGUACGCAAGUAUGAAACUUAAAGGAAUUGGCGGGGGAGCACCACAAGGGGUGAAGCCUGCGGUUCAAUUGGAGUCAACGCCAGAAAUCUUACCCGGAGAGACAGCAGAAUGAAGGUCAAGCUGAAGACUUUACCAGACAAGCUGAGAGGUGGUGCAUGGCCGUCGCCAGCUCGUGCCGUGAGAUGUCCUGUUAAGUCAGGUAACGAGCGAGAUCCCUGCCUCUAGUUGCCACCAUUACUCUCAGGAGUAGUGGGGCGAAUUAGCGGGACCGCCACAGUUAAUGUGGAGGAAGGAAGGGGCCACGGCAGGUCAGUAUGCCCCGAAACUCUGGGGCCACACGCGGGCUGCAAUGGUAGUGACAAUGGGUUCCGAAUCCGAAAGGAGGAGGUAAUCCUCAAACACUACCACAGUUAUGACUGAGGGCUGCAACUCGCCCUCACGAAUAUGGAAUCCCUAGUAACUGCGUGUCAUUAUCGCGCGGUGAAUACGUCCCUGCUCCUUGCACACACCGCCCGUCGUUUCAUUGAAGUGUGCCUUUAGCGAGGUGACGUCUGAUUGGCGUUAUCGAACU